rnacentral:rRNA from 1 species
GACGAACGCUGGCGGCGUGCUUAACACAUGCAAGUCGAACGGUAAGGCCCCUUCGGGGGUACACGAGUGGCGAACGGGUGAGUAACACGUGAGCAACCUGCCCUUGACUCUGGAAUAACAGUUGGAAACAGCUGCUAAUACUGGAUAUUCAUCGUCUCCUUCCUGGGGGGUGGUGGAAAGCUCCGGCGGUCAGGGAUGGGCUCGCGGCCUAUCAGCUUGUUGGUGAGGUAAUGGCUCACCAAGGCUUCGACGGGUAGCCGGCCUGAGAGGGCGACCGGCCACACUGGGACUGAGAUACGGCCCAGACUCCUACGGGAGGCAGCAGUGGGGAAUAUUGCACAAUGGGUGCAAGCCUGAUGCAGCAACGCCGCGUGCGGGAUGACGGCCUUCGGGUUGUAAACCGCUUUCAGUAGGGACGAAGGGUGACUGACGGUACCUACAGAAGAAGGACCGGCUAACUACGUG